CCUACGGGUGGCAGCAGUGAGGAAUAUUGGUCAAUGGGCGCGAGCCUGAACCAGCCAAGUAGCGUGAAGGAUGACUGCCCUACGGGUUGUAAACUUCUUUUAUAAAGGAAUAAAGUGAGGUACGUGUGCCUUUUUGUAUGUACUUUAUGAAUAAGGAUCGGCUACCUCCGUGCCCGCAGCCGCGGUUAUCCGGAGGAUCCGAGCGUUAUCCGGCUAUAUUGGGUUUAAAGGGAGCGAAGAUGGGUUGUUAAGUCAGAUGUGAAGGUUGGGGCGUCAACCGUAAGAUUGCAAUUGAUACUGGCAGGCUUGAGAACAGUUGAGGUAGACGGAAUUCGUAGUGUAGCGGUGAAAUGCUUAGAUAUCACGAAGAACUCCGAUUGCGAAGGCAGCUUACUGAGCUGCCACUGACAUUGAUGCUCGAAAGUGUGGGUAGCAAACAGGAUUAGAUACCCGUGUAGUC
rnacentral:rRNA from 1 species